rnacentral:tRNA from 1 species
GAGGAUAUAGCUUGAGUGGUAGAGCACAUGCUUAGCAUGCAUGAGGUCCUGGAUUCAUACCCCAGUACCUCCU